rnacentral:sRNA from 1 species
UUUCUUUUUUGGUUUUUAAU